rnacentral:rRNA from 1 species
AGUGAACGCUGGCGGUAGGCCUAACACAUGCCAGUCGAAUGGCAGCACAGUAAGAGCUUGCUCUUACGGGUGGCGAGUGGCGGACGGGUGAGGAAUACAUCGGAAUCUACUUUUUCGUGGGGGAUAACGUAGGGAAACUUACGCUAAUACCGCAUACGACCUACGGGUGAAAGCAGGGGAUCUUCGGACCUUGCGCGAUUGAAUGAGCCGAUGUCGGAUUAGCUAGUUGGCGGGGUAAAGGCCCACCAAGGCGACGAUCCGUAGCUGGUCUGAGAGGAUGAUCAGCCACACUGGAACUGAGACACGGUCCAGACUCCUACGGGAGGCAGCAGUGGGGAAUAUUGGACAAUGGGCGCAAGCCUGAUCCAGCCAUACCGCGUGGGUGAAGAAGGCCUUCGGGUUGUAAAGCCCUUUUGUUGGGAAAGAAAAGCAGCAGGUUAAUACCCCGCUGUUCUGACGGUACCCAAAGAAUAAGCACCGGCUAACUUCGUG